rnacentral:rRNA from 1 species
UACGGGGGGGGCAAGCGUUGUUCGGAAUUACUGGGCGUAAAGGGCGCGUAGGCGGCUCGCUAAGUCGGAUGUGAAAACUCUGGGCUCAACCCAGAGCCUGCAUUCGAAACUGACGAGCUGGAGUUCUGGAGGGGAAAGCGGAAUUCCUGGUGUAGCGGUGAAAUGCGUAGAUAUCAGGAGGAACACCGGUGGCGAAGGCGGAUCUCUGGGCCUUACCUGACGCUCAGGCGCGAAAGCCUAGGGGAGCGAACUGG